GCCAGACUUCAGCUGGGAACAAAAUGUCUUGGAGCUGGUGGGAGCUCAGAGAACCAGGCUUCUCUCAAUCCAAGGGAAAGGACUGGCUGCACAUCUGGGGUACACUUGUUUGUAUAAGAUCAUUGUUAUCCAGGGCCCUGGUAGCCUUUUAGACUAAGCUCAAAUGGUUUUUUGUUUUGUUUUGUUUUGUUUUGUUUUUGCCAGCUCUGCAAAGAAAUGGUGCAGAGAGAAAGCCAGAACUCUCCAGAACUCAUUACCCUUCCCCAUCUCCCCAUUUCUCUCUCUUCUGGGAAGGGAGAGCAUAUGGGUGUGAUUCCACAGAUGGGCAGGAUGGAGACAGGUUAAAGAACACCUCCAAGAAGAAGCCUUCGUUGACACCACCUCUACCAGGAGGCCUCAUCGGUGACAACCUUGCUCUGCGCACCAGAGCUGAUAAGAAACAUCACCCAGGGAGGACAGAUGCCUCUUCUUCACUUUCUAAUCAGAGUGGAAAUACCACUAAAUAUAUUCAUAAUUCUUUGCAAGCA